CUUGGAGGGGGUGUGCUGCUAUUCGUAUCCAGCAGGUAGAGGACAAGGAUGAUACUGAACAUCUUACAACGUAUAGCACAGCCCCCCACGACAAAGGCCUGUCUAGUCUAAACUGUCCACAGUGCUGAGGUUGAGAAACUCUGGGUUAAACCAAUGAAAAGGGCAGCACUCUUGGUAGAGUAGCAGAAUCCGGCCAAUGGGAGGGAUUUAGACAUUGAAAUUGAAGUUCAAAAUACAUAAUUAACUCAGAGCUAAAGGAAGCAGAUUCCUUGGCUUCUGAUAAGGCUAUAUCCCACGAGGGUUGAGCACAUCACAGGAACUCAAUAACUACCUGAUGAAUUAAUGAAAUAUCAGAAUUACCAUAAGGUUCCAUGGUUUUACCCUUAAAAAAAAGAAAAAAAAAACUUGGAAGACACUCAUUCUGUUAGCUCUAAAAGCUUGUACUAGUGGACAUCAUUUAUAGAGCCAGGAACUCUGGAAAAGGAAUUUAUACAUUCUUAGAAACCAGAGGGUAUAAUCCCAGCACUUUGGGAGGCCAAGGCAGGUGGAUCACUUGAGGUCAGGAGUUCAAAACCAGCCUGGUCAACAUGGUGAAACCCCAACUCUACUAAAAAUACAAAAAUUCACCGGGUGUGGUGGCACGGACCUGGAAUCCCAGCUAUUCGGGAGACUGAGGAAGGAGAAUUGCUUAAACCCAGGAGGCGGAAGUUGCAAAGAGCCAAGAUCGCACCAUUGCACUCCAGCCUGGGUGACAGAGCAAGACUCCAUCUCAAAAGAAAAGAAAAGAAAGAAAGGAAGGAAGGAAGGAAGGAAGGAAGGAAGGAAGGAAGGAAGGAAGGAAGAAAGAAGGAAAGAAACCAGAGGGCUUAGAAAUAGAGAGGGCAUCUCAGCCAUGGGCAAUGGUUCACACCGGUCAUAAGAGCCCUUUGAGAGGCUGAGGCAGGAGGAUCACUUGAAGCCAGGAGUUUCAGACCAGCCUGGGCAAC
rnacentral:lncRNA from 1 species